AGUCUCCCCCUCCACCGAUUUAUCCUCCUGAGCCACCAUUGGCGGUGAGUAUAUUUUUUAUGGGUUGCAUCACUCCACCUUUACUUCUUUAGAAGAUCAGUCUCCUGCCUCUCCAGUCGAUAACCCCGUCAUGGUAAAUGCUUAUUUUGCUGGUACACGAACACACCUUGGGAGGGGCAUUAAAUGGUAACUUUCAUUUUAUAAAUGCAAAAGACAAAGCAAGGUAUGCCUUAGUUUCAACUCUUUCUAUUGUACAAGAAAAAAUCCUACACGAUCCUACUGUACAUGAAUUACAUUUAAAUGUGAAUGUGUUGAUUGCAAAUAUUGGUUGGGAUAACUUUUUUGCCAUUAACUGUCCAAUCUAGUAUGAAUUUAUUUGGAAAUUUUAUUCCACAUUCUCUAUUGAUUUGCUAACUGGUUGCACAUUAAAUACAGCUGGGGUUGUUAAAUUUAGAUUAUUGGGUCAAAGAUUUGCAUAUUCACUCACUGAGUUUAAUAGGGCACUUGGGUUAAUUGAUGAUGAAUCCGCACACUCAGAAGCCUAUUUGAAUGCAUACCUGACAUAUGCGAUGCCUUUAACCCACUGGCAGUACAUGAACUACUCACACACCAACCAUCGGAAUCUUUUAAUCCUGCAAAAUCUAGUGAUUCAUAUUUACAUUCACCUGCACUGGUUUAUUUGUAUCGUCUGCUUGCAUAUUCUUUCUUAGGAAGGAAGGAUUCUCUUGGGAUCCUAUCUAAGAUUGAAUUAUUUUUUCUUUGGUGCAUGACUGAGGGUAAAAGAGUCAAUUUGGAUUGUCUUAUUGCUUCACAAAUACGCACUGUUGUUAGUCAUCGCAGACCUUUAAUUCUAGUCACCCAUAUUGCUUUACAUGAAAGAUUAAUUAACUUAAUAAAUAAUAAUUUGCAUAAAGCUUGUGACAUGUCACCUUUAGAUUUAAUGAGUCUCGAUCAAAUGGGUCUACUAUGUAAAAAUGGUGUUGGGUUUUCUAUUUGUCCUCCAGGUCUUAUCGUCCCACGACCCGAUCGAGUGUUCAAAAGAGGAGGUGUUGUACACAUGGCUCCUAUUGCCCCUGCCCCAUCCAUGGCUAAUCCUCCAUUUGAUGCCAGCAAGCUUUUCAAGCCCUCAAUACCAAAAUUAAUCAGAUGGAGAGUCGCUUCAAAAAUACCUUGGAGCGUGUUGAUACUCAUCUAGCACUCCUAGUGAAUAACGUCAGUGACAUGCAGGCUACAAUUCGUUCUCAACACCGGCAGCGAUAGUAGGAGGAUAUGACAUCCUUCCGGAUCAUAUUCUAAACUCUCUUCUUGCUUUUUAUUGUGAUCCAAGUGUGGGGGAAAACUGAACAUAUACCUGCUUUGGUUGUCUUGUAUUUUUUUAUCACAUUGAGGACAUUGUGAUCCAAGUGUGGGGGAGAGU
rnacentral:lncRNA from 1 species